rnacentral:rRNA from 1 species
UACGAAGGGGACUAGCGUUGUUCGGAAUCACUGGGCGUAAAGCGCACGUAGGCGGAUGUGUCAGUCAGGGGUGAGAUCCCGGGGCUCAACCUCGGAACUGCCUUUGAUACAGCACGUCUCGAGUCCGGAAGAGGUGGGUGGAAUUCCUAGUGUAGAGGUGAAAUUCGUAGAUAUUAGGAAGAACACCGGUGGCGAAGGCGGCCCACUGGUCCGGUACUGACGCUGAGGUGCGAAAGCGUGGGGAGCAAACAGG